rnacentral:lncRNA from 1 species
UCAGAUAGGGUGUUUACCUAGUGGUAGUGAUAGUGUUUGAAGAUUGGAGUUGUGGAUGGUGCUGUGUUUGAGAUUAUGAUGUUAGUAGUGAUAGUGGUUCUAAUGUGUAUGUUAAGGUUUUAAGGUUGGAAAAGUAUGAUUUGUGUAUGGUUGUAUUGAACAAGGAGAGAAGAUGGUUGGCUAUGGAGGAAGGAUGUGUGAGGUUGAUAUGUUGUGAGGGUAGUAAACUGUGUGUAGAAAAAAUGAAAAUGAUUUUUCUCCGUUGAAAAAAAAAAUGGGUUUGCUCCUCUUCAACUAGAUAUUUUAAGCCAUAACCUCUUAACAUGUGCCACGUGUAAGCUCAAUGUGGUCUCUCCGUAUCCUCAUUUGUGUGGCUCGUGGCUAAAGGGAAAGAAGAUAUUUUUUCAAUUUUUCUUGAUUUAAUAAGUUUUAUUUUUAAAUUAAAAAUAAAAAACUAAAACAAAAGUUUAAAAGUUAAAAUAAAUUUAAUAAAACAAAAUAAAAUUAUAUUUAAAACCCAAUAAAUUCUAAUUAAUUCUACUAAUUAAAUUGCCGAAAAAAAUAAAAAAAUAAUUGGAUAAAAAGUGAAUAAAAAAUGGAUGCAAAAUUGUUCGAAAAAAUAAACUGAGUGCACCAAGAUGAUCAGCGUGAAAUAAACUUCUCGGAAACAUAUAGGUUUGAAUAAAAUUUU